rnacentral:rRNA from 1 species
AUUGAACGCUGGCGGCAGGCCUAACACAUGCAAGUCGAGCGGCAGCGGGAAAGUAGCUUGCUACUUUUGUCGGCGAGCGGCGGACGGGUGAGUAAUGCCUGGGAAAUUGCCCAGUCGAGGGGGGUAACAGUUGGAAACGACUGCUAAUACCGCAUGCGCCCUACGGGGGAAAGCAGGGGACCUUCGGGCCUUGCGCGAUUGGAUAUGCCCAGGUGGGAUUAGCUAGUUGGUGAGGUAAUGGCUCACCAAGGCGACGAUCCCUAGCUGGUCUGAGAGGAUGAUCAGCCACACUGGAACUGAGACACGGUCCAGACUCCUACGGGAGGCAGCAGUGGGGAAUAUUGCACAAUGGGGGAAACCCUGAUGCAGCCAUGCCGCGUGUGUGAAGAAGGCCUUCGGGUUGUAAAGCACUUUCAGCGAGGAGGAAAGGUCAGUAGCUAAUAUCUGCUGACUGUGACGUUACUCGCAGAAGAAGCACCGGCUAACUCCGUGCCAGCAGCCGCGGUAAUACGGAGGGUGCAAGCGUCAAUCGGAAUUACUGGGCGUAAAGCGCACGCAGGCGGUUGGAUAANUUAGAUGUGAAANCCCCGGGCUCAACCUGGGAAUUGCAUUUAAAACUGUCCAGCUAGANUCUUGUAGAGGGGGGUAGAAUUCC